CCUUGGACAUUUUUCGGACAAAAGUUAGCUAGGAUUUUGGACAUUGGACGGACAUCGGACAAGAAAUUUCUGAAAUUGACACCUCUAGUCCUAAGUAAACACG